GGGUUGUGAGGUUAAGUGACUAAGCGUACACGGUGGAUGCCUAGGCAGUCAGAGGCGAUGAAGGACGUGCUAAUCUGCGAUAAGCGUCGGUGAGCUGAUAUGAAGCAUUAUUAGCCGGCGAUGUCCGAAUGGGGAAACCCAGUGCAAUUCGUUGCACUAUCGUUAAGUGAAUACAUAGCUUAACGAGGCGAACCAGGGGAACUGAAACAUCUAAGUACCCUGAGGAAAAGAAAUCAACCGAGAUUCCCCAGUAGCGGCGAGCGAACGGGGAAGAGCCCAGAACCUGAAUCAGUUUGUGCAUUAGUGGAAGCGUCUGGAAAGUCGCGCGAUACCGGGUGAUAGCCCCGUACACGAAGGUGCACAGCUGUGAGUUCGAUGAGUAGGGCGGGACACGUGUUAUCCUGUCUGAAUAUGGGGGGACCAUCCUCCAAGGCUAAAUACUCCUGACUGACCGAUAGUGAACCAGUACCGUGAGGGAAAGGCGAAAAGAACCCCGGCGAGGGGAGUGAAAUAGAACCUGAAACCGUGUACGUACAAGCAGUGGGAGCAUCCUUCGGGGUGUGACUGCGUACCUUUUGUAUAAUGGGUCAGCGACUUAUAUUUUGUAGCAAGGUUAACCGAAUAGGGGAGCCGUAGGGAAACCGAGUCUUAACUGGGCGUCUAGUUGCAAGGUAUAGACCCGAAACCCGGUGAUCUAGCCAUGGGCAGGUUGAAGGUUGGGUAACACUAACUGGAGGACCGAACCGACUAAUGUUGAAAAAUUAGCGGAUGACUUGUGGCUGGGGGUGAAAGGCCAAUCAAACCGGGAGAUAGCUGGUUCUCCCCGAAAGCUAUUUAGGUAGCGCCUCGUGAACUCAUCUUCGGGGGUAGAGCACUGUUUCGGCUAGGGGGUCAUCCCGACUUACCAACCCGAUGCAAACUACGAAUACCGAAGAAUGUUAUCACGGGAGACACACGGCGGGUGCUAACGUCCGUCGUGAAGAGGGAAACAACCCAGACCGCCAGCUAAGGUCCCAAAGUCAUGGUUAAGUGGGAAACGAUGUGGGAAGGCACAGACAGCCAGGAUGUUGGCUUAGAAGCAGCCAUCAUUUAAAGAAAGCGUAAUAGCUCACUGGUCGAGUCGGCCUGCGCGGAAGAUGUAACGGGGCUAAACCAUGCACCGAAGCUGCGGCAGCGACACUAUGUGUUGUUGGGUAGGGGAGCGUUCUGUAAGCCUGUGAAGGUGGCCUGUGAGGGCUGCUGGAGGUAUCAGAAGUGCGAAUGCUGACAUAAGUAACGAUAAAGCGGGUGAAAAGCCCGCUCGCCGGAAGACCAAGGGUUCCUGUCCAACGUUAAUCGGGGCAGGGUAAGUCGACCCCUAAGGCGAGGCCGAAAGGCGUAGUCGAUGGGAAACAGGUUAAUAUUCCUGUACUUGGUGUUAUUGCGAAGGGGGGACGGAGAAGGCUAGACCGGCCGGGCGACGGUUGUCCCGGUUUAAGCGUGUAGGUGUGAUGACCUGGCAAAUCCGGUUAUCUUUAACACUGAGGCGUGAUGACGAGGCACUACGGUGCUGAAGUGGUUGAUGCCCUGCUUCCAGGAAAAGCCUCUAAGCUCUAGAUAACACUGAAUCGUACCCCAAACCGACACAGGUGGUCAGGUAGAGAAUACCAAGGCGCUUGAGAGAACUCGGGUGAAGGAACUAGGCAAAAUGGUGCCGUAACUUCGGGAGAAGGCACGCUGGCAUGUAGGUGAAGUCCCUCGCGGAUGGAGCCGAAGCCAGUCGAAGAUACCAGCUGGCUGCAACUGUUUAAUAAAAACACAGCACUCUGCAAACACGAAAGUGGACGUAUAGGGUGUGACGCCUGCCCGGUGCUGGAAGGUUAAUUGAUGGGGUCAGCCGCAAGGCGAAGCUCUUGAUCGAAGCCCCAGUAAACGGCGGCCGUAACUAUAACGGUCCUAAGGUAGCGAAAUUCCUUGUCGGGUAAGUUCCGACCUGCACGAAUGGCGUAAUGAUGGCCAGGCUGUCUCCACCCGAGACUCAGUGAAAUUGAACUCGCUGUGAAGAUGCAGUGUACCCGCGGCAAGACGGAAAGACCCCGUGAACCUUUACUAUAGCUUGACACUGAACAUUGAACCUUGAUGUGUAGGAUAGGUGGGAGGCUUUGAAGUGUGGACGCCAGUCUGCAUGGAGCCGACCUUGAAAUACCACCCUUUAAUGUUUGAUGUUCUAACCUGGUCCCGUAAUCCGGGAUAGGGACAGUGUCUGGUGGGUAGUUUGACUGGGGCGGUCUCCUCCCAAAGAGUAACGGAGGAGCACGAAGGUUAGCUAAUCCUGGUCGGACAUCAGGAGGUUAGUGCAAAGGCAUAAGCUAGCUUGACUGCGAGAGUGACGGCUCGAGCAGGUGCGAAAGCAGGUCUUAGUGAUCCGGUGGUUCUGAAUGGAAGGGCCAUCGCUCAACGGAUAAAAGGUACUCCGGGGAUAACAGGCUGAUACCGCCCAAGAGUUCAUAUCGACGGCGGUGUUUGGCACCUCGAUGUCGGCUCAUCACAUCCUGGGGCUGAAGUAGGUCCCAAGGGUAUGGCUGUUCGCCAUUUAAAGUGGUACGCGAGCUGGGUUUAGAACGUCGUGAGACAGUUCGGUCCCUAUCUGCCGUGGGCGUUGGAAGAUUGAGAGGGGCUGCUCCUAGUACGAGAGGACCGGAGUGGACGCACCGCUGGUGUUCGGGUUGUGAUGCCAAUUGCAUUGCCCGGUAGCUACGUGCGGAAGAGAUAAGCGCUGAAAGCAUCUAAGCGCGAAACUUGCCUCGAGAUGAGUCUUCCCUUGGACCUUGAGUCCACUAAAGGAACGUUUAAGACUAAGACGUUGAUAGGCUGGGUGUGUAAGCGUAGCGAUACGUUGAGCUAACCAGUACUAAUGAUCCGUGAGGCUUAACCUUACAACACCGAAGGUGUUU
rnacentral:rRNA from 1 species